AGUACCAUUUCAAGACAACUGAGAUGAGGAAGUUUGGUUAAAUUCCAACACGGUCCCGCCACUGUAAUCAUAUGAAGACAUAUGGAGUCAGGUCGUUAUCUUAGCUUGCUAAUCAUGCAUGCGUAUCCUGUUUCGAGGUAAAACAGUAUCGUAGUA
rnacentral:sRNA from 2 species